UGCCAGCCGCCGCGGUAAGACGAACCGUCCAAACGUUAUUCGGAAUUACUGGGCUUAAAGGGUGCGUAGGCGGCGCGGUAAGUUGGGUGUGAAAUCCCUCGGCUCAACCGAGGAAUUGCGCUUGAUACUGCCGUGCUCGAGGGAGACAGAGGUGAGCGGAACUUAGGGUGGAGCGGUGAAAUGCGUUGAUAUCCUAAGGAACACCAGUGGCGAAAGCGGCUCACUGGGUCUCUUCUGACGCUGAGGCACGAAAGCCAGGGGAGCAAACGGGAUUAGAUA
rnacentral:rRNA from 1 species